AUGAAGGAGAGGCUGCCAGGAAGCUGGCAGGGCCCAUGGACUGGCUUGGGGAAUGAUUAACACUGAGCAAACAUGUUUAUUUCCCUGCCCCCACAAUGCACUGUGCUAUUUUCAGUUGGGAGUUGGGGUGUGUGUGUGUGUGCACUUGCUCAUGUUCAAAAGGGGAUUUUUUUUUCUGAGUACACACCGGUAGAGUGGGAACCCGUUUUCCAAGUGGAGACAAAAGCCGUUGAGCAUUGCCACAAUGGUGAUCUAGCUUAGGAUCUCGAACAUAAAACAAUGUGUGUGUUUCAGGUGAGAUCAUGGGAAGUGUGUAUAACUGAACACUAGAUGGAUAUUUAGAGAACUGCACUUCAGGAACCUACACCUUCGUGUCUCAAGUUAUGAAUAUUGACCAAUAGGAUCAGCGCAUGCUUGGCCAAUUAACAAAAGGUCUCAUUAAAUAUUUCCAGUGGCUCCUACUGUACAGUGUUAUGCAAAACUCUCAUGAUUCUGAUUGUAGGCAUUAUGAGCAAUCCAUGCCAUCCCACCUUUAUUGAGUAAGAAUCCUUUGCUUUUGCAGGAGAGCAAACUGGCUCACAGACUAGCCAAAUAUGACAGCAACAAAUGUGGUUCACCAUGUUGUAAGAUUUAUUCAUGAAGACAAAAUGUUCUUUUACAAAAUAAAUGUUAUAAUUGUGGGAUUUUAUUUGUUCAUAUGUCAUCUUUGGUUCAAUACUACAAAAGAUUAUAAGAAGGUUAAGUAUGAGGACCGCUGGUGGCUACUGGAAAGCAUUUCCUCAUUGAGGGUUAUAGACUUUCCUUUUCAAUAUGGCGGUUGGCGGCGAAAGAGACACAGGCCUAAAGCAUAGGCCGAUGGCUAGCUUCAAACUCCUUCGGAUUCGGUGUUUUCUGUUCCCAGGGAGCAACAUGACCACGUUGGAGGUCCUGGAGUUCACGGUUGUGUAUAAUCAAGAGCAGAAGAUUCAGGGAGGGACACGAGCCUACAUGUGAGUUUUUACCGAAUUCCUCUCCAUAGCAGUUCAGACAGUAAGAUAUCAAAAGAUUGAAUGUCUCCACAUUUCAUGUGCAGUAUGGAUUGCUUGCUUGUUUUUGUCGAAUUUCGGGGUGCACGGAGCUUAUCAAUUUGUGUAUUCAGUGCGCUGAAGUAUUUCUCAGAAGUCUUGUGCCAAGCUUGGGAAUGAACUGUUUCCAAACUAUUAAAAUGUUAUUAUUUAAAGAAGCA